rnacentral:rRNA from 1 species
UAGGGAAUCUUCGGCAAUGGGGGGAACCCUGACCGAGCAACGCCGCGUGAGUGAAGAAGGUUUUCGGAUCGUAAAGCUCUGUUGUUAAGGAAGAACGAGUGUGAGAAUGGAAAGUUCAUACUGUGACGGUACUUAACCAGAAAGGGACGGCUAACUACGUGCCAGCAGCCGCGGUAAUACGUAGGUCCCGAGCGUUGUCCGGAUUUAUUGGGCGUAAAGCGAGCGCAGGCGGUUAGAUAAGUCUGAAGUUAACGGCAGUGGCUCAACCAUUGUAGGCUUUGGAAACUGUAUAACUUGAGUGCAGAAGGGGAGAGGGGAAUUCCAUGUGUAGCGGUGAAAUGCGUAGAUAUAUGGAGGAACACCGGUGGCGAAAGCGGCUCUCUGGUAUGUAACUGACGCUGAGGCUCGAAAGCGUGGGGAGCGAACAGG